CCAGAUAAUCUGAACCUGUAUGUGUAGGAUCUCAAAGGAAUUCAGGAGAGUAACAUCAUGAAGUACACUAGCAAAAUAUGACGAGGAGGAGAUAAAGAAAGAUUCAUCAAGUUCAUAUUAGGAAGGUUGGCAAUAAAGAACUUUAAUUGUUCUCUUCUCAUGUGGUUUGUUGGGACUUUAAUAUUAGCCGAAGACUUAGCUACUGAACACCUAAUUUGUUGCGUCGAAAAAAAAAACACCUCUUUUCAUAGAACAAACUUCCAUAUUCCCGGUAAGUGUGUAUAGAAAUCAACCCAAACCCAUGAUUCACAUAGGAUGAACACUGUACAAGCUUCGGAGAAUUUGUGCAAAAAAUACCAAAACAGAGAUGCGUAGAACACUAAUUACCAAAAGAUAUCUUUGAUAAUAAGUGGAAGCCUCACAUGGAAUCACCUCGGCACCGAUAGACCAAGCUCUGGAAAGGGGGAAAAAUGGUCUCAGGAGAUUUUUUCAAGUAGAAAUUUCAUAGAACUAAUUUAAGAAAGCAAUAAAGACAUGACAUACAUAAAUGCCAAACAAUACCAAUUUGAGGGGUGUAUUAUUUUCAAAAUUUUACUUCAAUUGAACCGUUUUAUUCAACAUUCAUCAAUUCCAAAGCCAUAUAAUCUAUGAUGAGCUUUGCCAAAAGUCACAGAUCUUCCAGAUUGACAGAAUAGACGAAAGAGAAAGAGGAAUGAAAUAAGAGAACUUUUAAGGCAAUGUCAAUUCAGUUAUAAGAGAACGAGAAGAGGAGAAAGAUAUUAGACAUACAAAGUUAAACAUAUUAAGCAAAAGAAAGCUCUUUCAAAAAUAAUACAGAAGAUACCCAUGUAUCAAUUUCCUUAUUUUCUUUGCUCAAUAAUCCAAAUGCAAGAAAAUAUGUCCUCCUUAUAUUUGUCUUAAAUAGGUCUCGCACCACUAAAUCCAAACGGAUGGUACACAUACUCCAAUAGGAACUUCGAGUUAAUCAACUGUUGAGACCCCCCUUCUCAUUGAAAACCCAAGAUUAGCAUGAAACAUGAAGACAGUACAUGAACUUAUACUUGGCAUGUUUAAAUUUGAGAAUAAAAACAAAUGCAUGAAACGGACCAAAGAGGUAAAUAGCAAUUCUCCAGGGUAGAAACAGAACCUAAUAGGCUUAAGGGUCUACCUUCAUGGUGGCAAGAAAGAAAACGUUCACGUUCCAUCAACUCCAUCUGGGAAAAGGAGUUAUUGUCACCACAAUAUUCUUACAAAAUACAAAAAAUCUACUAGUCUACUAAGAACUACAAAUUCUAGAAAUGAUAAAUUGCUUCUCUGGAGAUCAUUGAAUACUUGUACCCUAAAAUAAAGAGGGAGGAGCACACCCAUGAAAGACAUGCUUUUCUAAGGUAGAUAAUGACGUACUAGAGAUGAAGAAAUAUUAGCCCAAGUGAACCCUAAAGGUCAUAAAAGUGUGACACUGACCGUCAAUCUAGCCUCCCAACAACACCCUUGAAGAGUUGCUACUGAGGUAGUUGAAGGUUUAGCGACGUAUCGCAACAAGGAACUUCUUUUAUUUUAUUUUAUUUGAGAAAUAAAGCAACAGGGAGCUCAUAUCUAUCUGUUUUCCAACUCUUACACCUUAGUCAAUCAGCUCAAAAGGAGCCAAAUCAAUGAAGGUGAUACUUUUCUAGUUACAAAUUUGCCAGCUUCUUAACAAGAUGAAAAACCAUAACAUAAAAUCAUAUCUCAAUGAAUUUUUCCCCCCAUUUUUAAUCAUAUUGGAGUUCCUUGAUCUUCCUUCACAAAAGUGGCUAGCUUCUUUCUUUAAACUACAUCAUUACUGUUUUGUUCUCGCACACAUUGCAGUGGCUUAGGUCACUGUGGUACUUGUUUCAUAGAUUUAUUAUCUUGGAAAAUUUUCCGACUGUUCAUCUAUGUGUUGGUUUCUCUAAUGAUGAUGUACAUGUUUUGUUAUGACGGUGGUGUCGAGGCUUACUUGGUAAGCACCUCAACUAUUCCACCGGUUAUCUGCAACCUCUUACUAGCACAGAUACCAAGUAACUCUACCCACCAACUCUUACGUAGAUAGGAAGAAAUCAUCUAAUGUCUUUUUUUCCUCCUCUAGGACUUGAACCUGUGACUCAUGGUUCUUCUCCCACUUUAUUAGCUACUAGGCCACACACUUAGGUAGACAAGAGGGGCUUGGUCUGAUGGUAACCAACCCUC
rnacentral:lncRNA from 1 species